rnacentral:rRNA from 1 species
UACGUAGGGGGCAAGCGUUGUCCGGAUUUACUGGGCGUAAAGAGCGUGUAGGCGGCCAAACAGGUCCGUUGUGAAAACUGGAGGCUUAACCUCCAGACGUCGACGGAAACCGUAUGGCUAGAGUCCGGAAGAGGAGAGUGGAAUUCCACGUGUAGCAGUGAAAUGCGUAGAUAUGUGGAGGAACACCGAUGGCGAAGGCAGCCCCCUGGGAUGUGACUGACGCUCAUGUACGAAAGCGUGGGGAGCAAACAGG